AACGCGAAGAACCUUACCUACUCUUGACAUCCAGAGAACUUUCCAGAGAUGGAUUGGUGCCUUCGGGAACUCUGAGACAGGUGCUGCAUGGCUGUCGUCAGCUCGUGUUGUGAAAUGUUGGGUUAAGUCCCGCAACGAGCGCAACCCUUAUCCUUUGUUGCCAGCGGUCCGGCCGGGAACUCAAAGGAGACUGCCAGUGAUAAACUGGAGGAAGGUGGGGAUGACGUCAAGUCAUCAUGGCCCUUACGACCAGGGCUACACACGUGCUACAAUGGCAUAUACAAAGAGAAGCGACCUCGCGAGAGCAAGCGGACCUCAUAAAGUGCGUUGUAGUCCGGAUUGGAGUCUGCAACUCGACUCCAUGAAGUCGGAAUCGCUAGUAAUCGUGGAUCAGAAUGCCACGGUGAAUACGUUCCCGGGUCUUGUACACACCG
rnacentral:rRNA from 1 species